rnacentral:rRNA from 1 species
CCUACGGGAGGCAGCAGUGGGGAAUUUUGGACAAUGGGGGCAACCCUGAUCCAGCCAUUCCGCGUGAGUGAAGAAGGCCUUCGGGUUGUAAAGCUCUUUCGCAAGGGAAGAAACGUUACAGUCUAAUAAACUGUGAUAAUGACGGUACCUUGAUAAGAAGCACCGGCUAACUACGUGCCAGCAGCCGCGGUAAUACGUAGGGUGCGAGCGUUAAUCGGAAUUACUGGGCGUAAAGCGUGCGCAGGCGGUUUUGUAAGUCAGAUGUGAAAUCCCCGAGCUCAACUUGGGAACUGCGUUUGAAACUACAAGGCUAGAGUAUGGUAGAGGGGGGUAGAAUUCCACGUGUAGCAGUGAAAUGCGUAGAGAUGUGGAGGAAUACCAAUGGCGAAGGCAGCCCCCUGGACUAAUACUGACGCUCAUGCACGAAAGCGUGGGGAGCAAACAGGAUUAGAUACCCUGGUAGUCCACGCCCUAAACGAUGUCUACUAGUUGUUGGGAGAGUAAAAUCUCUUAGUAACGCAGCUAACGCGUGAAGUAGACCGCCUGGGGAGUACGGUCGCAAGAUUAAAACUCAAAGGAAUUGACGG